ACUGGCAGGCUAGAGUCUUGUAGAGGGGGGUAGAAUUCCAGGUGUAGCGGUGAAAUGCGUAGAGAUCUGGAGGAAUACCGGUGGCGAAGGCGGCCCCCUGGACAAAGACUGACGCUCAGGUGCGAAAGCGUGGGGAGCAAACAGGAUUAGAUACCCUGGUAGUCCACGCCGUAAACGAUGUCGAUUUGGAGGUUGUGCCCUUGAGGCGUGGCUUCCGG
rnacentral:rRNA from 1 species